rnacentral:rRNA from 1 species
AUUGAACGCUGGCGGCAGGCCUAACACAUGCAAGUCGAGCGAGCGGCGGACGGGUGAGUAAUGUCUGGGAAACUGCCUGAUGGAGGGGGAUAACUACUGGAAACGGUAGCUAAUACCGCAUACCAUCAGAUGUGCCCAGAUGGGAUUAGCUAGUGGGUGGGUAAACGGCUCACCUAGGCUACGAUCCCUAGCUGGUCUGAGAGGAUGACCAGACAAACUGGAACGAGGACACGGUCCAGCUUCCUACGGGAGGCAGCAGUGGGGAAUAUUGCACAAUGGGCGCAAGCCUGAUGCAGCCAUGCCGCGUGUGUGAAGAAGGCCUUCGGGUUGUAAAGCACUUUCAGCGGGGAGGCGUUACCCGCAGAAGAAGCACCGGCUAACUCCGUGCCAGCAGCCGCGGUAAUUC